CAGUUCGGAUUGAAGGCUGAAAUUCGCCUUCAUGAAGCCGGAAUUGCUAGUAAUGGCAGGUCAGCAUACUGCCGUGAAUACGUUCCCGGGCCUUGUACACACCGCCCGUCACACCAUGAGAGUUGGGGAUACCCGAAGCCUGUGAGCUAACAGUAAUGAAGCAGCAGUCGAAGGUAGAAUCAAUGAUUGGGGUGAAGUCGUAACAAGGUAGC
rnacentral:rRNA from 1 species